rnacentral:rRNA from 1 species
UACGUAGGGUGCAAGCGUUAAUCGGAAUUAUUGGGCGUAAAGCGUGCGCAGGCGGUUAUGCAAGACAGGUGUGAAAUCCCCGGGCUCAACCUGGGAACUGCGUUUGUGACUGCAAGGCUGGAGUGCGGCAGGGGGGGAUGGAAUUCCGCGUGUAGCAGUGAAAUGCGUAGAUAUGCGGAGGAACACCGAUGGCGAAGGCAAUCCCCUGGGCCUGCACUGACGCUCAUGCGCGAAAGCGUGGGGAGCAAACAGG